AUGCGGCGGUCGUCGAGCGGGGCGCGCGUGUCGGAGGGCGGCGACGCGUCCUCGUCGGGCCACCGCGGCGACGGCACGGCGCUCCCGACGUUCGACCCGCAGUCGGCGGCGGGCCGGCGGGAGGCGGCGCGGACCCGGGCGCUGGGGCGCGCCGUGCACUGCAUCCCGCUGUUGCUGCUGCUCUGCGCCCUCGUGCUCUGGCUCUCCGCCGCCUCCACCUCCCCGGCUCACCUCGUGAGUAGGAUAAAAAGGUGUCCAUGUGCUCACCCUCUCUGCAAUUUUCCUGUGUCCCAAGUUCUGUUAUGCAUUUGA
rnacentral:rRNA from 1 species